CAAAAUAUAGCUAUUUAAGUAUUUUAGUUACAUUAAAAUGAAAGUUUUGAAACUUGUUUUGA
rnacentral:tRNA from 1 species